rnacentral:rRNA from 1 species
GGACGAACGCUGGCGGCGUGCUUAACACAUGCAAGUCGAACGGAAAGGCCCUGCUUGCAGGGUACUCGAGUGGCGAACGGGUGAGUAACACGUGGGUGAUCUGCCUUGCACUUCGGGAUAAGCCUGGGAAACUGGGUCUAAUACCGGAUAGGACCAUGCUUUAGUGUGUGUGGUGGAAAGUUUUUCGGUGCAAGAUGAGCCCGCGGCCUAUCAGCUUGUUGGUGGGGUAAUGGCCUACCAAGGCGACGACGGGUAGCCGGCCUGAGAGGGUGUACGGCCACAUUGGGACUGAGACACGGCCCAGACUCCUACGGGAGGCAGCAGUGGGGAAUAUUGCACAAUGGGCGCAAGCCUGAUGCAGCGACGCCGCGUGGGGGAUGAAGGCCUUCGGGUUGUAAACUCCUUUCGCUAGGGAAGAAGCCACUUGUGGUGACGGUACCUGGAUAAGAAGCACCGGCUAACUAC